rnacentral:tRNA from 1 species
UCGGGUAAUAGCGCAGUUGGUAGCGCGCCUGGUUCGGGACCAGGAGGUCGGCGGUUCAAAUCCGCCUUGCCCGAU